GCCAGGCAUGGUGGUGGGUGCCUGUAAUCCCAGCUACUCGGGAGGCUGAGGCAGGAGAAUCGCUUGAGCCCAGGAGGCAGAGGUUGCAGUGAGCCAAGAUCAUGCCGCUGCACUCUAGCCUGGGCAACAGAGCAAGAUUCUGUCUCAA
rfam:Pan troglodytes isolate Yerkes chimp pedigree #C0471 (Clint) chromosome 3, whole genome shotgun sequence.